rnacentral:lncRNA from 1 species
GUGCUAAAAUGGGCCACGAAAGCAUGUUCGAGAUGUCCGAAGAAGUGGAUGCUUUCUGAGCGGAGGCCGGAGUACCAGGCCCUGGCGUCCUUGUGAAGUGUGGCGGGGAAACCGAUGCAGAGAAGGACAUCGGUCGCCCCUUGGAUCAUCAUGAGAGCCUUGUAGCUCUCCAGAUGGUCAAUUGGGUCGGUGGAGCCGUCGUAAGGCUCUACGUGAGACAUCUUGAACCGACUAGGGAUCGGCUCGUCGAGGAUGAGUC